CCCUUAGAUGUUCUGGGCCGCACGCGCGCUACACUGAUGAAUUCAACGAGCUCCUAACCUAGGCCGAAGGGUCCGGGUAAUCUUUGAAAUUUCAUCGUGAUGGGGAUAGAUUAUUGCAAUUAUUAAUCUUCAACGAGGAAUUCCUAGUAAGCGCGAGUCAUCAGCUCGCGUUGAUUACGUCCCUGCCCUUUGUACACACCGCCCGUCGCUCCUACCGAUUGAAUGGUCCGGUGAAAUGUUCGGAUCGCGGCAAAUCGGACGGGUAACCGUCAGGUUCGCUGCGAGAAGUUCAUUAAACCUUAUCAUUUAGAGGAAGGUGAAGUCGUAACA
rnacentral:rRNA from 1 species